rnacentral:rRNA from 1 species
GGGAAUAUGUGGACAAUGGGCGCAAGCCUGAUCCAGCCAUACCGCGUGGGUGAAGAAGGCCUUCGGGUUGUAAAGCCCUUUUGUUGGGAAAGAAAUCCAGCCGGCUAAUACCUGGUUGGGAUGACGGUACCCAAAGAAUAAGCACCGGCUAACUUCGUGCCAGCAGCCGCGGUAAUACGAAGGGUGCAAGCGUUACUCGGAAUUACUGGGCGUAAAGCGUGCGUAGGUGGUUAUUUAAGUCCGUUGUGAAAGCCCUGGGCUCAACCUGGGAACUGCAGUGGAUACUGGAUGACUAGAAUGUGGUAGAGGGUAGCGGAAUUCCUGGUGUAGCAGUGAAAUGCGUAGAGAUCAGGAGGAACAUCCAUGGCGAAGGCAGCUACCUGGACCAACAUUGACACUGAGGCACGAAAGCGUGGGGAGCAAACAGGAUUAGAUAC